GUUGGGCAUGGUAGAACAUGCCUGUAUCCCUGCUGCUGAGGAGGCUAAGGCUGGUGGAUUGUUUGAGCUCAAGAGUUCUGAGGCGAAGUGGACUAAGCCAAGUGGGCGUCUAGAACAAGUCCAGCAGCGGUAGAGAGUCCCAGGGGCUGGGGAGUUGGGGCGGCCCGGCUGCCUAAGGAGGGGGAAACCAGCCUAGGUCAGAAGUGAAGGUCAAAGCUUCUGUGCUAAUCAGCAGUGGGACUGGGACCAUGAGUGGCCGCUGCACUUCCAGCCUGGAUGAGAUAGGGAGACCUGGGCUCUC
rnacentral:SRP_RNA from 1 species